GCGGGCGCCCACAGCGCUCCUCCGCUGGGACCGCUCGUCUGGCCCAGGUCUCCUCACGCUGGCUACCUCAAACCGAGGCUUGGCUUCUGCUGAGUUCUUACCUGUCUCUCCUUUGCGCGAGGAUUCUCAGGACAUCUUUCUGCCGGAUCUCUGGAGAGGUGUCUGUGCUGGUGGGGGUUUUCAGCAGGUCACUGUUUGCCCCAGACCCCAGGAACUGAUGUCUUUCCAGCUUUAACGGCGAAUAUGCUCAAUGCUUCUGACCUAUCUGCCCCCCCCCAUUGCCAUACCAAAUGUUUCCUGGGACUUUCGCUUUCUUCCCAAGAUCCAAUAUAGGAAAUUCACCAUUUGAGAACUCAGUGUCAAUGGAUUGAUUGUAUCUGAAAAGUUCCUUUAGUUACUUAUUUGGAUCUCAGGCUGCAUUUUUUCAGGGGAACAGUAUGAUAAUUGUUUGUUACCUUACUAGGCCAAUCCAGAAAUGCCAACAUAGCCCGUGUCACAGGUGAACCUCCCAGAGUCCUCCUGGUCCUUGAACCCCUCAGGUUCUCCCUCCGCCAUAAUCAGAUGCCAUGGGCUUCCCCAAGAGUUUUAAGUCUCUCAUGUAUCUCCUGCCUCUGUACACCCCUCUCCCCUCUGUCCAAAAUCAAAACAAAACAAAACUCACAAAUCUGCUCAUUCCUAAAGGUAGACCCAACCUAGCAAGGUGUCCGGGGGGGAAAGAAAUCUUAUCACACAUUCCCACUGAUAUGUAUCAUCAUUGACAUUACCCAACAUCCUCUAACCCUUCCAGAAUGACCCACACUUUUAAUUGUCAACACUUCAAAACUCAGAUGAAUCCCUAAAGGGUAGCUGGAGUUCCAGGCAGGUAG